AUGAAAUGCAAGGGUGCUCUUCUUAGACACUCGACCCAUUCUCAUCUCACACUGUGCACAUACUAUUUUUACACCAUUUUUAAUACUCUCAGUCUAAGAAUGUUAAACAGUCUCCUUAAUCGGAGCAUGAAAGUAAUACAACUUUCGGCAACGGAUCUCUUGGUUCCCGCAUCGAUGAAGAACGCAGCGAAAUGCGAUACGUAAUGUGAAUUGCAGAAUUCAGUGAAUCAUCGAAUCUUUGAACGCACCUUGCGCCCUUUGGUAUUCCGAAGGGCAUGCCUGUUUGAGUGUCGUGAAACUCUCAACCCCCUCGUUUUGUAAUGAAGCGAGCGCGGGCUUGGAUUGUGGUCGCUGCCGGUCUUCAAUUGAUCAGCUCGACUGAAAUACAUGAGCGUACCUAUAAUUGGUAGCGGUAGCUUAUCCUGGCGUGAUAGUAUUAUUCGCCUAGAUUGUUUACAUGCAUUACUCCAAGUAUAGCGGCGCUAUAUAAUGCCGGACGGCUUUCAUUAGCCAACCGAUUUCACCUC
rnacentral:misc_RNA from 1 species